CUUAACACCAUCAGUGGAGCGUAUCCAAUGGCUCCCCAUAUUCCAGCCAGAGGGACCCAGUCAAAAUCACCGCACCUAUAUAAGAUCUCGUCAGGAAUCAACCACGGAGCCCUCCAUUCAACGUCUUCGGUCCGUAAAUUUUGGAGAAUAGUUAUCCACCUCUCUUCGGAGAUGUCGUCCCGCCUCGAUGUGGCCACUAAUUCUCUUAAUGGGGAAUAAUCCUUAAAGAAUACCCG
rnacentral:lncRNA from 1 species